rnacentral:tRNA from 1 species
GUGGGUGUAGCUCAGUAGGUUAGAGCGCCAGGUUGUGGCCCUGGAGGUCGCGGGUUCGAAUCCCGCCAUCCACCCCA